rnacentral:rRNA from 1 species
AUUGGACGCUGGCGGAAUGCUUUACACAUGCAAGUCGAACGGUAGAGGGGGCAACCCCUCGAGAGUGGCGAACGGGUGAGUAAUAUAUCGGAACGUGCCCAGUCGUGGGGGAUAACGUAGCGAAAGUUACGCUAAUACCGCAUACGAUCUAAGGAUGAAAGCGGGGGAUCGCAAGACCUCGCGCGAUUGGAGCGGCCGAUAUCAGAUUAGGUAGUUGGUGGGGUAAAGGCUCACCAAGCCAACGAUCUGUAGCUGGUCUGAGAGGACGACCAGCCACACUGGAACUGAGACACGGUCCAGACUCCUACGGGAGGCAGCAGUGGGGAAUUUUGGACAAUGGACGCAAGUCUGAUUCAGCCAUUCCGCGUGCAGGAUGAAGGCCCUCGGGUUGUAAACUGCUUUUGUACGGAACGAAAAGGUCUCUCUUAAUACGGGGGACUCAUGACGGUACCGUAAGAAUAAGCACCGGCUAACUACGUGCCAGCAGCCGCGGUAA